UUCGCGUGAAACCAAUAAAAAACCCCUCCAAAAUUUUCAUUUCCUUCUAUACAAGUCUCCCUCCCUUCACUUUCAGCCCCGAACCCCGAAUUGGGCUUAGGGUUCAUUUUUUCUCAUCAGCACAAAAUUGAAGGAGAAGAAAAAGAAGGUGACGAACCCAAACCUUCUCAUGCAGCUGAGGUCUCUCGUCAACGACGCUGGGCUCAUUUUCUCUCAAGCUCCUGCCUCGGAUCCCCUCUACUCUCAAGCUCCCUCCCUCAGAUCGGUGGGUGACAGAUUUCUCAAAUAAUUUGAUGGUUAACAUGGUUAUGGAGGAUUAACGGUUGACCUUUAAUAUGGUGGUUUUGGAAGUGAUCAUGGUUAUUGAGUCAAGAUUGUGGAAGAGGUCGUCACUAUCAGAGGUUUGGUUAUGACGCAUUUCGACCAUUUGGUGAUUUUGGCCCUCGACCUCCUUUUGACCUCGACAGUGUUCCAUUUUACCUGCUUGAGAUAUGCCGAGGGCACGACGACAUGUAUCUACCAAUGAACCGGACGAGGUUCCUUUACUGGCAUCCGAACUGGUGUCACAUGUGUCAGAAAGCAAACUGAAAGAAAUUAUGAAGCACUACCGCGUUCCUCCGGAGUACGCCUUAUACGCUCCUUUGGAGACAUGCCGGGCUGACCGCCCUAGGGCCGGCUUCGUGGCCCUUACUGAGCACAUUCUGAAGAAAAGAAGAAAGUGCAAGAAUUGAAGAAGUGGAUUGAAGAAUUGGAAAAUGAAUUGAGGUAUGCAUGGAUUAAGAAAUGGAAGAUGAUCUUAACACUCCUGAAUUUCAGCCUUUGCCUCAUAUACUCAACAAAGGCUAAAACUCUACUUGGAUAUUUAAGAGAACCAAGACAAUUAUAUAAGAGAACCAAUGUGUUGACCCUGAUUUUGGUCAACUGACACGGAGUAAAAAAUGCUUGAUGUAGACAGAUAUAUUGAAAUGAGGAUAAUGACAAAAACAGUAAAGCACACAAGAAUUUAUAGUGGUUCGGCCCCAGAAUCUGGUAAUAACCUACGUCCACUUGAGCUAUUAUUGAUAUAAUAUUUCAAAGGAGUGAUCAAAGAACUAGGGUUCAAUGAGUUUCACCAACCUCUGAAGAACAAACAAUGUAUCGAAUGUGAUAGCUCUAAUUCACUCGUAAAUCUCUAAUCUCCAGUAAUUAGAAAGAAAAAAAGUCCCUUCCUUGAGCCAUUUUUCUCUAUUUAUAGGCUCAAGGAAGAUUACAUUAAUUUGUUACAGAUAUUCUUUCCUAAAUAAUCAGAUACUCAAGAAAUCAUGGGAGAUAAUUUCGGAUAUGAUCAUAACUGCAUAAGAUUUUCUCCAAAUAUAACGAGCAUACGACCAAGCUGGUUGUAUAUUAUGAUUGAGCAUUGCGCCACGGAAAUCUUUCUAGUCGAUGGUCUAACAAGACUUCCGCCAGGUGUCAGCCACGUGUACCAAAUGUCUGCCAUGUCAUUCAUGCCUAUUUUUUGGAUAACAUUUGCCCCCCAAGUUUGUUUAAUGCGACCAGCGAUAAAGAAACUUUAGGGAAACAACCGUUCAUAUGCCCCACGAAAUAUGUCAGAGUCUUCGUGCGUUUUUGAAAACCGUGACAUAAUUAUGUCUAAUCACGCCUUUUCGGUUUUCAAGAAACCAAUUCGAUGGCUUAUACACUCCCCCACGUUUUGAAAAUGGGAAAGUCAUGAUUGCCACUUUUUGCUAUACUUCAGCCUCUAUAAGUAACCUUUUUAUCUCUCUUAUGAUCCUUUACUUCACCAUUUCGAUCAAGAACUUUCAAGAACUUUGCUCUGGAGCCCAGAAUUUCAAAACAAUUCAGACGUCCUGCCGAAGAUCUUUCCGACUCGAAAUUUUUAUUUUUCUGAAUCUCCACCCUUUGCCCAGGUAAUCUCUUAGUCUUUCAAAAUUUUCGUGAUGCCAUGCAUGUAGGUACUGUGCUCUGUGAUUUCCUGCGAUCUUGAGUAGAAAUUUAUGAGGAUUUUGUAUAAAUCAUCUGAUGCUUGGUACAAGAGUGUAUUUCUUCUUUAUAUAAGUUAGGAGUUAGUUCGAUAGUAAGGAUCAUAGGUUUAGGGCAUAAGAUCGACGUAAAAAUUCAAUCUUUAAGCUAGCUGAAAAAACUGGGUUUUUUCUCGCCCUUUAGGAGUUGAAAAAGUUUCUUUUCAGAAAACGUUUUAUUUCCUUUUUGAUCCGUUUUUCAAAUUGUUAGCACCAAACUUAGUGUAUGGGUAGGAUGUUGCUGGUCAAUAGACACGAGCAACGUUAUCCCAAUCCCCCACGUAACUCCCCAGGCUAUGUGUCUUAUCUCCUCCUUUGUCUGUUUGCAGUUCAUAUGCAAGACCCUUGGGGAGGAGAAAUACCCAUUGAAGAUGACCUCCUAGCUCAGCUUCUUGAAGGCGAAGAAAACCCCUCUACUCUGAUACUAGAUAUCCCUUUCUCUCGCCUUAGCCCAAACACUUCUCCAGUUCCAACCCAAAGAAUGGCUCGAACAAAAACUAAAGCUCAAAAAAGGAAAAUCCCAAACUCCUCAUGCCAGCCUACUGCUGAUGCCCCAUCGACCAGUGGUCGAGGCGAAAAUAUUCCUGACACCAAUGUACAAAGGCAUGCCCGUCCUCGACACGCUGCUCAGCCGAAUGUCGAGUGGCAUGUUGUUCCCCAGAGUAGAGUGACGAUCAGGAUGAUCGCCAACUACUUAAAUAAGUAUAAACUGACAGGGGUGACCCUGGUUAGACCUUCCCUUGACCAGAGGGCUAACCUGCCAGGCAGGGCCUACAGCGCCUGGUCGCGGUUUCACAUUGAGGCAGGUGACACUUUGCCUCUUCACUCAUUCUUUCAGGGGUUGGCAAAUUACUUUGGAGUUGCCCCCUUUCAAAUUACCCCCAAUGGAUAUAGAAUGCUGGCCGCACUCUAUAUCCUUUACAAACUCAAAAAAUGGCCAGAGCCCACUCCCCACGAGGUCAACUUUCUUUUUGACGUUAAGUUCAACCCUAACCAAGAAGGUACAGGGUUUUUCCAUUUUUUCCAUCAAGAAACCGGGCGCACUUUCCUGGCUGAUACUACUCACAUCUCCAAUGUGGGGAGGUAUCACCAGGAAUACUUCCUUACUCCCGACUUAGCUGUAGACAACUUGGCCUUCACCCGAGGAGGUAAAAAUUCUUACGUCACUAGCUUUUUUGCUUAGUGUUUUUCUGCCACAAUGUCUUGACAUUUCACUGUGUUCCAGGCCCAUGGUUACGUCCAACCCCAACUCCAGGGAUGGAGUCAAGGGCGGCACUCUUAGCCAGCAUGCCGAAUGCUGAUAAGAGUGUCAAAAAUUUAGUUACUGAGGCUAACCUUAGGUUGGCCGGCCUCUGGAAUCCCCAACCAGCGACGAGCGAACCUUCGGCGGAAAACGCCCAAGCCGAAGUGGAACUCGAGCAGUAAGCCCAAGCAUCUCCUCCGCGGAGGAGACCAACUGGGGUUACGAUCAGGGAACCUGCCAUCCCUCACCGAAUGGAGAAACCCUUGGCCCCUGAGGGCAAAGGAAAAUAAAAGGCUGAUGAGCCUACUGAACUUUCUGACGACUCGUUGGAUGAAAACGGUAUAAUAAUCUCGCUUUUAAAUCAUUUGGCAAUUCCCUCGCAUCUAUUUGAUGGGGAUGGCAACUUUAAGAAUGCUCCCUCCUUAAGUUCAGAUUUCUUCCAGGCAGUAGGUAGUUCAGUAAAUAAUGUUACGACCAGUAGUUGUAGCGCGGGUACUUUACUUGUAAUCCUUUUGCUUUCAUUCUUUUACCCUGCGUGAACAUUUAGUCUUACUGCUCGCGCUGCUUCCUUUUGUGCAGGUAUGGACUCCGAGGACAUUUUUGAGCACUACCAGGCUGCUGCUGCUUCUUCUGCUCAAAAGAAAGAUAGCAAGAGGGCUCGAGGGGAAAGCAGCAAGACUCCCUCGAAGAAGGCCCAAACAGACAAUGUUCCAGCCACUACCCCCUCCAAGGAGAACUCACCUCCAACUUCCUCCGAGCAGGCGACUCCCACUCCUGCUGAUCCACAGCCUUCUUCCAAGGCUCCUUACAAAGAGGCAUUGGACACUCGGCCCGAAGGCUCCCUGCCCAGCCUCGUGGUCAGCUCAGCUAGGGAGAGGAUAUACAAGCCCUUCAAGCACAAACACAGCCAAGCAGCCAUUACUGAAACUACCUCCAUGGAGGCUGAUCAAGUUGUCAAGAGAGGGCUGAAUGAGAUAGUCAGCGGGCUACUAACUUUAACUGUUGGCUGGCGCCGUUUUGGGGCGUUGGUUUCUCAGGGAAAGAACUUUGACUCCUAGCUUGCCGAGACUAAGCAAGCACUUGAGGCUGACCACAACAAGCUGCUUGAGGAGAAUAGGGAGCUGUCCAAAUAGAAAGAACAACUGUGCGAGGACAAAUCUACUCUCACCAAGGAGCUUCUGGAUGCCCGAGAUGCCCUGAAGAAAGCAAACGAAUCCUAGGAAAGAUUCAGGGAAAGUGCUAGGCUCAACACUCAAGCAUGUGCUCAGCUUGAGCUUGAUCUGAUCGCCAGCAGGCAGGAGACGGGGGAGCUUGAAAAACGAGUGUAGGAGCUCGAAGAGGACGGGGCCAAGAAUUUGAAGAAGUACAAGGAGGCCACUCACCUCUGCUUCUAUGAAUUUUGGAAGCAUAACCGGGAGGCUAACUUUGACUACUUGACUGAACGUUUGAAGAGGACUCUGAUGGCGCAGUGCGCCAUCCGGCUGGAAGAAGAAGAAAAGGCCAAAGUGCCUGCCUCUCCAGAGAUCUCCCUAGCAGAGGGGAUUGAUGGUGCUGAUGCUGAAGCUGGUCCUUCGGUCGACCAAGGCACUCCUCCCAACCCUCAGGAUCCUCCAGCUCCUUAAGAAUUUUUCUCUUUUUAUUUCGUUUUCACGGUCCACGGGUCGUACUGUAAAGACAAUUUGUUUUUGUUGCUGCAAGGGCAGCUUUUUACUUUUAAUUAAACAAUUACAUUCGAGCAGUACUGCUCGCGGUGUAAAAGAAUGCCUUUUGAUAUUAUAAUAUUUCUUUCUAUUAUAACAUAUGUUCGCAUGACCGAACUUA